rnacentral:rRNA from 1 species
GACGAACGCUGGCGGCGUGCUUAACACAUGCAAGUCGAGCGGUAAGGCUCCUUCGGGAGUACACGGGCGGCGAACGGGUGAGUAACACGUGAGCAACCUGCCCUUCUCAUCGGAAUAGGCGUUGGAAACGACGUCUAAUGCCGAAUAUGACAACGGAUCGCAUGAUCUGUUGUGGAAAGCUCCGGCGGAGAAGGAUGGGCUCGCGGCCUAUCAGCUUGUUGGUGGGGUAACGGCCCACCAAGGCGACGACGGGUAGCCGGCCUGAGAGGGUGACCGGCCACACUGGGACUGAGACACGGCCCAGACUCCUACGGGAGGCAGCAGUGGGGAAUAUUGGACAAUGGGCGCAAGCCUGAUCCAGCAACGCCGCGUGAGGGAUGACGGCCUUCGGGUUGUAAACCUCUUUCAGCAGGGACGAAGCGAAAGUGACGGUACCUGCAGAAGAAGGACCGGCCAACUACGUGCCAGCCGCCGCAGUAAUAC